rnacentral:misc_RNA from 1 species
GAUGAAGAACGCAGCGAAAUGCGAUACGUAAUGUGAAUUGCAGAAUUCAGUGAAUCAUCGAAUCUUUGAACGCAUAUUGCGCUCUCUGGUAUUCCGGAGAGCAUGCUUGUUUGAGUAUCAGUAAACACCUCAACUCCCUUUUCUUUUUUGAAAUUGGAGCUGGACUUGAGUGAUCCCAACGCUUUCUUCCAAGAAAGUGGCGGGUUGCUUGAAAUGCAGGUGCAGCUGAACUUUUCUCUGAGAUAUAAGCAUAUCUAUUUAGUCUGCCUAAAAAACAGAUUAUUACCUUUGCUGCAGCUAACAUAAAGGAGACUAGUUCUUGUGCUGACUGAUGCAGGAUUCACAGAGACAGCUUCGGCUGACUUUGUAAACUCGAUCUCAAAUCAAGUAAGACUACCCGCUGAACUUAAGCAUAUCAAUAAGCGGAGGA